rnacentral:lncRNA from 1 species
AUGAUUAGAAAAGUUCUAUUAACAAAGAAUAGUUUGCAGUGUAUUACUGUUCAAAUUCAGUUAUAGUUACUUGAGAUGAAUAUAUGCUGCAAUUUGAGCUAUUUAUUUUGGAUAACGAAUACCUUUUUAAGGAAGCCCAGGUCAAGCAUCAUAUGUAACAUGUAGUUAAUAUUCUCAUAUUGAAAGCUUGAGCUUGUAUUUGUUGUUACAUAUUAAAUGAGAUAGUUCAGAUGGUUGUCACAAUUGAGAUUAUGUGCAGGUUAGGUAGUAUUUUGAUCUCAGAUUUUAUAGAGCAGGACUAGAACCUUGGUGGCUGUUCAUUUCAGCCCUCUUAAGGAUGGAGGUUAAUUUUUCACAAGAAACCCCCUACUGCUAUUUACCUCUCCCUUCCAAAAAUGUUUUCUUAAGGGUAGUUUCAGUUCUGGAUCAUUAUCUCAUUACACUACUUGGGAAUUCUGGUACAAAAUUUCAGAGGACUGUAUUUACACCUCUUUAGUGUAAACACAGUUAUUGUGAUAAUGCACACAGAAGGUAUUUCUACCCCUUCUCUAAUAGGUGAGCUGAUUCUUUACACACUUGGGCAGAAGUAGAAUUCCCAGGAAUGAUGAUUUACAGUGGACAGGGACCUAAUGCAGCAAAGCAACCAGCAGGAAUUCACAGGAAUAGGCUUUGCCCCUUGACAUUUAAUACAGGGCAAAGUAUUAUCUAGUAGGUACCUGCCAAAUGGAGAGUUGUACAGUUUUACGGAAGUCAAUCACAAUCUUCAAAUCGGAUAUUCUGUCCAGGUGGGAUGCCAUAAGAUGUGACAGACAUUCCCUGAAUCUUCGUUCCUGAUUCUAAAAUAUGAUUUUAAAGCUGUUAUGUAUUACAAAGAAUGACAAGCAGCAGUUAAAAAUAUUUAGUAAACCCAGUUUAUUUACAUAAUACAUAUUUUGUCAUGCAGCUUACUGAAUUGCAGUUAGUGUAAUAACAAAAAAAGACAAGCACUGUCUUGCUAUUUGAAAAUGGCUUAAUAUAGAAAGAUAAUUGUUUCUUAAAUGAGUUAACCACAACCAUAUAAAUUG